GUGGGGAAUCUUGCGCAAUGGGCGAAAGCCUGACGCAGCCAUGCCGCGUGAAUGAUGAAGGUCUUAGGAUUGUAAAAUUCUUUCACCGGGGACGAUAAUGACGGUACCCGGAGAAGAAGCUCCGGCUAACUUCGUGCCAGCAGCCGCGGUAAUACGAAGGGGGCUAGCGUUGCUCGGAAUUACUGGGCGUAAAGGGCGCGUAGGCGGACAGCUUAGUCAGAGGUGAAAGCCCAGGGCUCAACCUUGGAAUUGCCUUUGAUACUGGCUGUCUUGAGUUUGGGAGAGGUGAGUGGAACUCCGAGUGUAGAGGUGAAAUUCGUAGAUAUUCGGAAGAACACCAGUGGCGAAGGCGACUCACUGGCCCAAUACUGACGCUGAGGAGCGAAAGCGUGGGGAGCAAACAGGAUUAGAAACCCCAGUAGUCC
rnacentral:rRNA from 1 species